rnacentral:siRNA from 1 species
UCAAUCAUAGUCAUAGCGAUAUGA